ensembl:lncRNA
UCACUGAGCAUGUCUUUGUGAGGAUACGAUUGCUACUGUUCUAACUCAUUUUUUAAAGGUCUGUUUUGUGUUGUUUCAAGCAGAACAGUGCUGCACAACUGCGUGUCUGUCCUCAGUGAGUGUACACUGAAAUAACAACAGGUUUUUUCAAGAUAACCAAUAGCGUUGACUACAUUAUCUAGAGACAGCUGAUUUCCCUCCUAAAGUCGAGACAUGGAAAGAACAGAGAACAAAGUGUCCACCAUCUCCCCGCAAAAACAGACAGUAAAAAAUCGAUCCAAGUCCACAGAGGAGGUACAGCAAGCCAAAAAGGCCUUUCAUACACCACAAAAAUCUCUACCGGCUAAACCAGAAACCGAACAACUAGAGGUAAACAUGAAAUGAUGAAUUAUGGGCUGUUUUAGAGCUUGACUUUGAAAAAAAAAAAUAGAUCAAAGAUUAGACCAAAGACCAGUCAGUGCUGCUUGUGCUGUCAGAGCUGCUUUAUUAUGUGCUUCAUGUUUGUGUUUGAUGUCCUCGAUUACAUUGUGUCUAAUGUGUUAAUAUAUUUUACAGGAAACCUCAGAACUGAGUGCCUCAUCAGAGGAGUUCAAAUGAUUGCUCGAUUCAAACUUCGGGGCUUUGAGAUUUAGACAGAUGAGCUGGAAUUAUGGGUAAUCACAAGAGGAUGAUUCAGUGUCUCUGUUUAUAAAAUUGUGAAGUUUUAAUUAGUUUAGUUAGCAUAGAAGAAAACAAUAAUCAUGUAGCUUCUUGAAUUUGUAUGAGUCUGAUAAUGUUUGUGAAAUAAAUGCACAACUGGAUAUCA